UACGUAGGGUGCAAGCGUUAAUCGGAAUUACUGGGCGUAAAGCGUGCGCAGGCGGCUAUGCAAGACAGAUGUGAAAUCCCCGGGCUCAACCUGGGAACUGCAUUUGUGGACUGCAUGGCUAGAGUGCGGCAGAGGGGGAUGGAAUUCCGCGUGUAGCAGUGAAAUGCGUAGAUAUGCGGAGGAACACCGAUGGCGAAGGCAAUCCCCUGGGCCUGCACUGACGGCUCAUGCACGAAAGCCGUGGGGAGCAAACAGG
rnacentral:rRNA from 1 species